UACGUAGGGUGCAAGCGUUAAUCGGAAUUACUGGGCGUAAAGCGUGCGCAGGCGGCUUUGCAAGACAGAUGUGAAAUCCCCGGGCUUAACCUGGGAACUGCAUUUGUGACUGCAUGGCUGGAGUGCGGCAGAGGGGGAUGGAAUUCCGCGUGUAGCAGUGAAAUGCGUAGAUAUCUGGAGGAACACCGGUGGCGAAGGCGGCAUCCUGGACCGGUAUUGACGCUGAGGCGCGAAAGCCAGGGGAGCAAACGGG
rnacentral:rRNA from 1 species